rnacentral:rRNA from 1 species
CUACGGGCCGCUGCAGUGGGGAAUAUUGCACAAUGGAGGAAACUCUGAUGCAGCAACGCCGCGUGGAGGAUGACACUUUUCGGAGCGUAAACUCCUUUUAUAUAGGAAGAAGAUGACGGUACUAUAUGAAUAAGCGCCGGCUAACUCCGUGCCAGCAGCCGCGGUAAUACGGAGGGCGCAAGCGUUACUCGGAAUCACUGGGCGUAAAGAGCGUGUAGGCGGAUUAAAAAGUCAGAAGUGAAGUCCUAUAGCUUAACUAUAGAACUGCUUCUGAAACUGUUAAUCUAGAAUAUGGGAGAGGUAGAUGGAAUUUGUGGUGUAGGGGUAAAAUCCGUAGAGAUCAGAAGGAAUACCGAUUGCGAAGGCGAUCUCCUAGAACAUUAUUGACGCUGAGACGCGAAAGCGUGGGGAGCAAACAGGAUUAGAUACCCCUGUAGUC